AUGCGACCAUAGACCAGGCGCGGGUUGAGGGCCUGGCAGGCCUCGGGUCCCAGGCCCAGGCGUUCCAUGGUGCCGGGCCGCAUGCC
rnacentral:tRNA from 1 species